ensembl:miRNA MIR4490 microRNA 4490
AUAGUUUCUGCAAUGCUCAAAUCUCUGGCCAAAGACCAGAACUUAAUGGUCUCUGGUAAGAGAUUUGGGCAUAUUAGAAACUAA